rnacentral:misc_RNA from 1 species
AAGAAAUCGUAAACAAAAUGUCGGAGGGGCAGAUUGUUCCAAUAGCCUUACGGAGGUUUGAUACAAGCCAGCCUCCAUAUUCGACAGAAGGAAACAGGAUCGGACAGCCUACACGAAAGCGGAUAAAUCCGGAUACACCAAGGCAUAUGGACAGCAAUAGUGUUACUGUAUUAUAUAUCCUGUGUAGUUUAAUUUCUCUGUAAAACUACUUUACAGCUGGUGUUUCCACUUUUUUUGUGUGCUGAUUUUUUUUAGAUGUCAAUGGUCACUGCAAUUCUGUGACACAAUAUUUAUUCUUUUAUAAACAGCAUGUAUUGCACAUGUACCAAAUAAGGUACAUGGGAGUAAAAUACAUACCAACAGAAUAAGGUGAUUAUUAAAGCAAAAAUUAUUUAGUUUUCAUUUCUAUUUUUCUAAUGAGAUGUUUGCUUUUGUUAUAUUUAUUUGUAUUAAUUGUGAAUAAAAUAAAUUUAAAAACAG